AUACGGAGGAUGCAAGCGUUAUCCGGAUUUAUUGGGUUUAAAGGGUGCGUAGGCGGUUUGCUAAGCGGGAGGUGAAAUGCCGGCGCUCAACGUCGGAAGUGCCUCCCGAACUGGUGGACUGGAAUGACUCUGCCGUGGGAGGAAUGUGUAGUGUAGCGGUGAAAUGCUUAGAGAUUACACAGAACACCGAUUGCGAAGGCAUCUCACGAAGGGUUGAUUGACGCUAAGGCACGAAAGCGUGGGGAUCAAACAGGAUUAGAUACCCUGGUAGUCCACGCAGUAAACGAUGAUGGCUAACCGCUGGUUUAUUCGGAUCAGUGGCCAAGCGAAAGCGAUAAGCCAUCCACCUGGGGAGUACGACCGCAAGGUUGAAACUCAAAUGAAUUGGCGGGG
rnacentral:rRNA from 1 species